rnacentral:rRNA from 1 species
UGUUUCGGCAAGGGGGUCAUCCCGACUUACCAACCCGAUGCAAACUGCGAAUACCGGAGAAUGUUAUCACGGGAGACACACGGCGGGUGCUAACGUCCGUCGUGAAGAGGGAAACAACCCAGACCGCCAGCUAAGGUCCCAAAGUCAUGGUUAAGUGGGAAACGAUGUGGGAAGGCCCAGACAGCCAGGAUGUUGGCUUAGAAGCAGCCAUCAUUUAAAGAAAGCGUAAUAGCUCACUGGUCGAGUCGGCCUGCGCGGAAGAUGUAACGGGGCUAAACCAUGCACCGAAGCUGCGGCAGCGACGCUUAUGCGUUGUUGGGUAGGGGAGCGUUCUGUAAGCCUGCGAAGGUGUACUGUGAGGUAUGCUGGAGGUAUCAGAAGUGCGAAUGCUGACAUAAGUAACGAUAAAGCGGGUGAAAAGCCCGCUCGCCGGAAGACCAAGGGUUCCUGUCCAACGUUAAUCGGGGCAGGGUGAGUCGACCCCUAAGGCGAGGCCGAAAGGCGUAGUCGAUGGGAAACAGGUUAAUAUUCCUGUACUUGGUGUUACUGCGAAGGGGGGACGGAGAAGGCUAUGUUGGCCGGGCGACGGUUGUC